UUGAUAGAGGAGCGGAAAACAUCAGUAUAACGUGGAGAGGGAUCUGUGAAGCGUUUGAAAGGGGAACCGCCGAAGUUUAAAAAGCAGCCAUGUUUUUUAUGCUGGGCCGUCAGUGAAUAACUGCCGGACUGUCGCCAAAAAAGGCGGAGGGCUAUCU
rnacentral:ncRNA from 1 species